rnacentral:rRNA from 1 species
CUGCGAUAAGCGUCGGUGAGGUGAUAUGAACCGUUAUAACCGGCGAUUUCCGAAUGGGGAAACCCAGUGUGUUUCGACACACUAUCAUUAACUGAAUCCAUAGGUUAAUGAGGCGAACCGGGGGAACUGAAACAUCUAAGUACCCCGAGGAAAAGAAAUCAACCGAGAUUCCCCCAGUAGCGGCGAGCGAACGGGGAGGAGCCCAGAGCCUGAAUCAGUGUGUGUGUUAGUGGAAGCGUCUGGAAAGGCGCGCGAUACAGGGUGACAGCCCCGUACACAAAAAUGCACAUAUUGUGAGCUCGAUGAGUAGGGCGGGACACGUGGUAUCCUGUCUGAAUAUGGGGGGACCAUCCUCCAAGGCUAAAUACUCCUGACUGACCGAUAGUGAACCAGUACCGUGAGGGAAAGGCGAAAAGAACCCCGGCGAGGGGAGUGAAAAAGAACCUGAAACCGUGUACGUACAAGCAGUGGGAGCCUCUUUAUGGGGUGACUGCGUACCUUUUGUAUAAUGGGUCAGCGACUUAUAUUCUGUAGCAAGGUUAACCGAAUAGGGGAGCCGAAGGGAAACCGAGUCUUAACUGGGCGUUAAGUUGCAGGGUAUAGACCCGAAACCCGGUGAUCUAGCCAUGGGCAGGUUGAAGGUUGGGUAACACUAACUGGAGGACCGAACCGACUAAUGUUGAAAAAUUAGCGGAUGACUUGUGGCUGGGGGUGAAAGGCCAAUCAAACCGGGAGAUAGCUGGUUCUCCCCGAAAGCUAUUUAGGUAGCGCCUCGUGAAUUCAUCUCCGGGGGUAGAGCACUGUUUCGGCAAGGGGGUCAUCCCGACUUACCAACCCGAUGCAAACUGCGAAUACCGGAGAAUGUUAUCACGGGAGACACACGGCGGGUGCUAACGUCCGUCGUGAAGAGGGAAACAACCCAGACCGCCAGCUAAGGUCCCAAAGUCAUGGUUAAGUGGGAAACGAUGUGGGAAGGCCCAGACAGCCAGGAUGUUGGCUUAGAAGCAGCCAUCAUUUAAAGAAAGCGUAAUAGCUCACUGGUCGAGUCGGCCUGCGCGGAAGAUGUAACGGGGCUAAACCAUGCACCGAAGCUGCGGCAGCGACACUAUGUGUUGUUGGGUAGGGGAGCGUUCUGUAAGCCUGUGAAGGUGGCCUGUGAGGGUUGCUGGAGGUAUCAGAAGUGCGAAUGCUGACAUAAGUAACGAUAAAGCGGGUGAAAAGCCCGCUCGCCGGAAGACCAAGGGUUCCUGUCCAACGUUAAUCGGGGCAGGGUGAGUCGACCCCUAAGGCGAGGCCGAAAGGCGUAGUCGAUGGGAAACAGGUUAAUAUUCCUGUACUUGGUGUUACUGCGAAGGGGGGACGGAGAAGGCUAUGUUGGCCGGGCGACGGUUGUCCCGGUUUAAGCGUGUAGGCUGGUUUUCCAGGCAAAUCCGGAAAACCAAGGCUGAGGCGUGAUGACGAGGCACUACGGUGCUGAAGCGACAAAUGCCCUGCUUCCAGGAAAAGCCUCUAAGCAUCAGGUAACAUCAAAUCGUACCCCAAACCGACACAGGUGGUCAGGUAGAGAAUACCAAGGCGCUUGAGAGAACUCGGGUGAAGGAACUAGGCAAAAUGGUGCCGUAACUUCGGGAGAAGGCACGCUGAUAUGUAGGUGAAGCGACUUGCUCGUGGAGCUGAAAUCAGUCGAAGAUACCAGCUGGCUGCAACUGUUUAUUAAAAACACAGCACUGUGCAAACACGAAAGUGGACGUAUACGGUGUGACGCCUGCCCGGUGCCGGAAGGUUAAUUGAUGGGGUUAGCGGUAACGCGAAGCUCUUGAUCGAAGCCCCGGUAAACGGCGGCCGUAACUAUAACGGUCCUAAGGUAGCGAAAUUCCUUGUCGGGUAAGUUCCGACCUGCACGAAUGGCGUAAUGAUGGCCAGGCUGUCUCCACCCGAGACUCAGUGAAAUUGAACUCGCUGUGAAGAUGCAGUGUACCCGCGGCAAGACGGAAAGACCCCGUGAACCUUUACUAUAGCUUGACACUGAACAUUGAGCCUUGAUGUGUAGGAUAGGUGGGAGGCUUUGAAGUGUGGACGCCAGUCUGCAUGGAGCCGACCUUGAAAUACCACCCUUUAAUGUUUGAUGUUCUAACGUUGGCCCGUAAUCCGGGUUGCGGACAGUGUCUGGUGGGUAGUUUGACUGGGGCGGUCUCCUCCUAAAGAGUAACGGAGGAGCACGAAGGUUGGCUAAUCCUGGUCGGACAUCAGGAGGUUAGUGCAAUGGCAUAAGCCAGCUUGACUGCGAGCGUGACGGCGCGAGCAGGUGCGAAAGCAGGUCAUAGUGAUCCGGUGGUUCUGAAUGGAAGGGCCAUCGCUCAACGGAUAAAAGGUACUCCGGGGAUAACAGGCUGAUACCGCCCAAGAGUUCAUAUCGACGGCGGUGUUUGGCACCUCGAUGUCGGCUCAUCACAUCCUGGGGCUGAAGUAGGUCCCAAGGGUAUGGCUGUUCGCCAUUUAAAGUGGUACGCGAGCUGGGUUUAGAACGUCGUGAGACAGUUCGGUCCCUAUCUGCCGUGGGCGCUGGAGAACUGAGGGGGGCUGCUCCUAGUACGAGAGGACCGGAGUGGACGCAUCACUGGUGUUCGGGUUGUCAUGCCAAUGGCACUGCCCGGUAGCUAAAUGCGGAAGAGAUAAGUGCUGAAAGCAUCUAAGCACGAAACUUGCCCCGAGAUGAGUUCUCCCUGAGACUUAGAGUCUCCUGAAGGAACGUUGAAGACGACGACGUUGAUAGGCCGGGUGUGUAAGCGCAGCGAUGCGUUGAGCUAACCGGUACUAAUGAACCGUGAGGCUUAACCUU